GCACCAGCUGCGCGCUCAGGUGCGCGUCCGCGCGGCCACCGAACGCAUUGCAGCCCAGAACAGUGACGGGGAGUUUGAACUGAGACAUGCUGCGGAGCUGAACAAAGCGAGAUGUUUUGAGUCUGGGGAGAAAAAUGCGGUAUCGAGAUGGAGAUUGUAAACAGCUGUGAUCAUAAUAACGGCGGUUGUUCUCAUCGCUGUGAACAUUCAACCAGUGGACCUGUGUGCAGCUGUAACACCGGAGACCAGCUGGACGACGACCACAACACCUGCAUCGGUAAAGGAAACUAAAGUGGCCAUUUCCCGUUUUGCUGCACAAGCACAGUAUCCGUGUGACGUCAAGAUAUAGACGAGUGUUUGGCUGUAAACGGAGGAUGUGAUCACAGGUGUCAGAACAUCCUGAACAUCCGGGUCCUUCCAGUGCUCCUGCAGACGCGGCUAUCGUCUCCAUGAAGACAGACGCUCAUGUAUAUGUGAGUCUUCAGCCGCUCAUGAACCUGUUUUCUUUUCAUAAUCAUUUUUAAUACAGAGCAAUAAAUGAAUAAUGAGCUCCUUUAAAAUUUAAUACAUUUAAUACAUACAAUACAAAUAUUACAUACAAUAAAACCAACUUUUACUGUGUAUGAAAGAUUCA